UUGGAAUGCCUUCAAACACUCUCUUGUUAUGGUUGUUCGAAGAUGAAGAGUUUUCCGGAAAUCAAGGGUAAUAUGGGAAGUCUAAGAGAACUUGAUUUAAGUGAAACAGAUAUAAUAGAAGUACCAUCAUCAAUCAGGCAUCUACAUGGGCUUAAAACCUUGAAGUUAAGUGAUUGCUUAAACCUUGUGAGUCUUCAGGUCGGUAUUUGUAGUUUGAGCUCUCUUCAAACUCUUUUGAUGGAUGGGAGUUUAGAACUAAAGGCCUUUCUAGAUAUCAAUAUUGGAAGUCUAAAAGCCCUUGAAUGGUUAGAUUUGUCAUAUUGCGAAAACCUUGAGAGUCUUCCGGAUAGUAUUUGUAGUUUGACCUCUCUUCAAACUCUUUUGCUGAAUGGGUGUUCAAAACUGAAAGCCUUUCCAUACAUCAAUAUUGGAAGCCUCAAAGCUCUUGAAUUGUUAGCUUUGUCAUAUUGCGAAAACCUUGAGAGUCUUCCGGACAGUAUUUGUAAUUUGACAUCUCUUCAAACUCUCAUGUUAAAAGAGUGUUCAAAAUUGAAGGGCUUUCCAGAUAUCAAUAUUGGAAGUCUAAAAGCUCUUAAAUUGUUAGAUUUGUCAUAUUGCGAAAACCUGACAGUAUUUGUAGUUUGACCUCUCUUCAAACUCUUUUGCUGAAUGGGUGUUCAAAAUUGAAGGCUUUUCCGGAUAUUAAUAUUGCAAAUCUAAAAGCUCUUGAAUUGUUAGAUUUUUCAUAUUGUGAAAACUUUGGGAGUCUUCCAGAUAGGAUUUGUAGCUUAACCUCUCUUCAAACUCUUUUGUUGAAAAAGUGUUCAAAAUUGAAGGCCUUUCCAGAUAUCAAUAUUGGAAGUCUAAAAGCUCUUAAAUUGUUAGAUUUGUCAUAUUGCGAAAACCUUAAGAGUCUUCCAGACAGUAUUUGUAGUUUGACCUCUCUUCAAACUCUUUUUUUGAAUGGGUGUUCAAAAUUGAAGGCCUUUCCAGAUAUCAAUAUUGGAAGUCUAAAAGCUCUUGAAUUGUUAGAUUUGUCAUAUUGCAAAAACCUUGAGAGUCUUCCGCAUAGUAUUUGUAGUUUGACCUCUCUCCAAACACUUUUGUUGAAUGGGUGUUCAAAACUGAAGGCCUUUCCAGAUAUCAAUAUUGGAAGUCUAAAAGCUCUUAAAUUGUUAGAUUUGUCUUAUUGCAUAUACCUUGAGAGUCUUCCGCACAGUAUUUGUAGUUUGACCUCUCUUCAAACUCUUUUGUUGAAUGGGUGUUCAAAAUUGAAGGCCUUUCCAUGUAUCAAUAUUGGAAGUCUAAAAGCUCUUAAAUUGUUAAAUUUGUCAUAUUGCGAAAACCUUGAGAGUCUUCCGGAUAGUAUUUGUAAUUUGACCUCUCUUCAAACUCUUUUGCUGAAUGGGUGUUCAAAACUGAAGGCCUUUCCAGAUAUCAAUAUUGGAUGUCUAAAAGCCCUUGAAUUGUUAGACUUCUCAUAUUGCAAAAACCUUGAGAGUCUUCCGCACAGUAUUUGUAGUUUGACCUCUCUUCAAACUCUUUUGCUGAAUGGGUGUUCAAAACUAAAGGCUUUUCCAGAUAUCAAUGUUGGAAGUCUAAAAGUUCUAGAAUUGUUAGAUUUGUCAUAUUGCGAAAGCCUUGAGAGUUUUCCGGACAGUAUUUGUAGUUUGACCUCUCUUCAAACUCUUUGGCUGAAUGGGUGUUCAAAACUGAAGGUCUUUCCAGAUGUCAAUAUUGGAAGUCUAAAAGCUCUUGAAUUGUUAGAUUUGUCAUGUUGUAAAAAGCUUGAGAGUCUUCCGAUGAGCAUUUGCAAUUUGAGCUCUCUCAAAACUCUGCGGAUUAAAGAUUGUCCAAAACUCAAGGGAAUAUUAAAGAUGAACCUAGGGGUUGAUUUAUGCUCCUCGAGAUCUUUGAAUCUGACUUGUCACAUUUCAAAUUCAGGAGUAAUCUGGGAUAAUGACUGCUUUUCCUCAUUAAAAGCAUUAAAUCCAUGGUGCCCCCUGUCAUCACUGGUAGAAUUAUCUGUAAGAAACUCUAAUCUCAUGGAACGAGACAUCCUCAGUGCUAGUUUUCGCUUAUCCUCAAUGCAAAUAUUAUCUCUAAGGAACUUCCCUUUGAUGGUAGGAGGAAUCCUUGAUGACAUUUUCCAUCUAUCUUCAUUGGUAGAAUUAUCUCUUAGUGAAUGCAAUCUGAUGGAAGUAGGAACCCUCCAUUAUGUUUGGAACCUAUCUUCACUGCUAAGAUUAUAUCUAAGAAACUGUAAUCUAAUGGAAGGAGAGAUCCCCAAUCAUAUUUGGCACCUAUCAUCAUUG
rnacentral:lncRNA from 1 species